GGGGCCGUAGCUCACCGGACAGAGCACUCCCCUCACGAAGGAGCGGUAGCGGGUUCGAUUCCCGCCGGCCUGCG
rnacentral:tRNA from 2 species